ACGGCCUCGGGCCACACAGCCUCCUGCACACACUCCAGAGGGCACAGCGAGCCCACGUGUCCCUCAGAGCCCCAGGCACCAUCCCACACGCAGAUACCCAGGAGCCCAGCCUGUGCUUCCUGCGUCGCCCUGCCCACAUCCUCGUCGGCGUCUGCUGGGGGUAGGUCCUCCCGCCUCUGGGGACAGACACCAUGAUGCUGAGGAGUUAGGGGCGGGCCCUCAGCCUCCCCAGCCGCCUCAAGAGGAUGCCACUCUCCUUCCUCCCCCGUGCUUGUCACUUGGAGGAACGCGUGGAGAGGUUGCUGUCAUCUCUGCGCUCAUCUUUGUCCCUAGCUCUCAAAGUCGGCAAGUCUGUGACUGUUUCU